AUGGUCUCAUGCUAUGAUCAAAGUACAAGGAAAUCACAGCACUUUGCAAUAAAUGCAUGCUUGGCUCCACUUUAUUCUUUGGAAGGAAUGCACAUAAUCACAGUCAAGGGAAUUGGAAAUUGCCGGCGAGGUUUGCAUCCAGUCCACGAACGUUUAGCCAAGGCACAUGGUUCACAAUGUGGAUUUUGCACCCCUGGUUUUGUGAUGUCCAUGUAUGCGCUGCUGCGAUCAAGUAAACAACGCCCUACUAAAGAGCAGAUUGAAGAUAGCCUUGCAGGAAAUUUGUGUCGCUGUACUGGCUACAGACCAAUAAUAGAUGCCUUCGGUGUUUUUGUGAAAACGGAUGAUUCCUUGUACACUGCUUCACCCUCGGAAAGUGUCAAUGGCAAAGCUAUCUGCCCUUCAACUGGGAAGCCAUGUUUGUGCAGAAAUGAGACAUAUGUCAAUGGCAAUGAUUCUUCACUAUUGCCUUCGGUGAAAACCUACUUACCUAGUUCAUAUAACGAAAUUGAUGGAAAUGCAUACAAUGAGAAGGAACUCAUUUUUCCUCCUGAACAUCAGUUGAGAAAAAUUAUGCCACUUAGACUGAAUGGGUUCAACGGGAUCAGUUGGUAUAGACCUCUUAAACUAGACCAGCUACUGCAGUUGAAAUCAUGCUACCCAGAGGCAAAACUUAUCAUUGGUAACUCCGAAGUGGGAGUUGAAACAAAGUUCAAGAAUGCUCAAUAUGGGGUAAUGAUCUCAGUUACCCAUGUUCCAGAACUCCACACCCUUAAAGCAGAAGAGGAUGGCUUAAGAAUUGGUUCUGCAGUUAGACUUGCACAGCUCCAGGAGUUCCUAAAGAAGGUUAUUGCAGAGCGUGGUUCUCUUCAAACUUCGUCUUGUUAG
rnacentral:rRNA from 1 species